rnacentral:rRNA from 1 species
GUGACCUCAAAUCAGGUAGGACUACCCGCUGAACUUAAGCAUAUCAAUAAGCGGAGGAAAAGAAACUAACAAGGAUUCCCCUAGUAACUGCGAGUGAAGCGGGAAAAGCUCAAAUUUAAAAUCUGGCAGUCUUUGGCUGUCCGAGUUGUAAUCUAGAGAAGUGCUAUCCGCGCUGGACCGUGUACAAGUCUCCUGGAAUGGAGCGUCAUAGAGGGUGAGAAUCCCGUCUUUGACACGGACUUGCCAGGGCUUUGUGAUGUGCUCUCGAAGAGUCGGGUUGUUUGGGAAUGCAGCUCAAAAUGGGUGGUAAAUUCCAUCUAAAGCUAAAUAUUGGCGAGAGACCGAUAGCGAACAAGUACCGUGAGGGAAAGAUGAAAAGAACUUUGGAAAGAGAGUUAAACAGUACGUGAAAUUGCUGAAAGGGAAACGCUUGAAGUCAGUCGCGUUGUCCAGGGAUCAACCUUGCUUUUGCUUGGUGCACUUUCUGGUUGACGGGUCAGCAUCAAUUUUGACUAUUGGAAAAAGRUUAGGGGAAUGUGACAUCUUUGGAUGUGUUAUAGCCCUUGGUUGCAUACAAUGGUUGGGAUUGAGGAACUCAGCACGCCGCAAGGCCGGGUUUUCAAACCACGUACGUGCUUAGGAUGCUGGCAUAAUGGCUUUAAUCGACCC